UCCGGGUGGAGAGGGUGACCUUGUUUUGUCUGUGUCUGCACACAGACUAACUGUGUGUCUCUGCGUUUGUCAUCGCCUCAGAUUUAGCAUCCUGGCAUCUUGUCUGACUCUGUCUGUCUCUUUAAGGGUAACUGGAGAUUCAAACGACUCUCUUUUUCCUCCACUACUGAUUCCUUGCUGCUGGUCUGUGCGGCCGCUCCCGGCCAAACCGUCCCUUCAGGCCUCCUCUUCAUCGGAAGAGAGGAAGACAAGGACUUCUCCAAGGGAGAAGAUGGAGAAGGGGCCGCAGCCAGGUUUUAGCCACGCGGAGUUCUCGGGAGCAGUUCAGAACCACAGGGCCCAAGGAGAAAGCCACCCUAACGUUGAUGCCCGAUGACAGUUAGUCAAUGAAGAGAAGUGAAAAAAAACCCGGGUGGUACUGUCUACCUGUCGGAGCUCACCAGCACUAAAUUACAGAAUUAAUAGGCUUUUAGAAGAGACUGACACAUAGUUACUGUGAAAAAGACAAUUAAAUGUAGAAAGCCACUUUUCUCACUGCAUUUAAUUUUAACUGGAGGCUCUGAGACUCAAUAAAUCUUUUCCUUAUUUCUCUCUACUUUUCCACAGAUAUUAAACCCUUAAGAGGAGCUCCAAGAAAGAUUUCUGGCAUAAGAAAUGCCCCUUUCUCCUCUCCACCUCCUUCCUCUCCAGAAGGGUGGGGUUUAUCUUCUUCCUAUUUUUGAAUCGGGUUUUUUUUCUCCCCAUAAGAGGGUGGAAGUGUUUUUCCACCCAGAAUUUAAUGCGGUCGUUCCUUUGGUCCCUGAUGGGAGACGCCAUUAGAAAUACCACUUUAAGAAAGGGAGAUUGCAGGGUGAGAAGCGAUUUGCAAUCUGCUUCAGACCGUUAGCAAAACGGUAUUGUGAAGGAGACCCGGAAAUGGAAGGAAAUAAAGAUUGCAGUGCUCAGCGAAGACUGACAUCUGUAGCUUAGCCCUUCUGGAAACGUCGCAUUCUGGGGAUUC
rnacentral:lncRNA from 1 species